GCCAGCCCGCUCAGAAACUCAAAGGAAUUGACGGGGCCCGCACAAGCGGUGGAGCAUGUGGUUUAAUUCGAUGCAACGCGAAGAACCUUACCUGGUCUUGACAUCCCGGAGACCCUUAGGAAACUAGGGGGUGCUUCCAUCUGGAAGAAUCUGGAGACAGGUGCUGCAUGGCUGUCGUCAGCUCGUGUCGUGAGAUGUUGGGUUAAGUCCCGCAACGAGCGCAACCCUUGCCUUUAGUUGCCAGCAGUUCGGCUGGGCACUCUAAAGGGACUGCCGGUGUUAAACCGGAGGAAGGUGGGGAUGACGUCAAGUCCUCAUGGCCUUUAUGACCAGGGCUACACACGUACUACAAUGGCCGAUACAAAGGGCAGCGACACUGCGAGGUGAAGCCAAUCCCGUAAAAUCGGUCUCAGUCCGGAUUGGAGUCUGCAACUCGACUCCAUGAAGUUGGAAUCGCUAGUAAUCGUGGAUCAGCAUGCCACGGUGAAUACGUUCCCGGGCCUU
rnacentral:rRNA from 1 species